rnacentral:lncRNA from 12 species
UAUUAUAAUUUAAUUUUUUUACCGGUGUAUAAUGUAAAGUUACUAAGUGCUUUUGUCCUGUUUUUCUUUAUUUCAGGCUUGAGUCACAGAGAAACCUGAGGAUUUACACUUCUGAAGUAGGUGUGAAUGAGAUUGAAGGGAUUACAUGGAGGAUUCUGAACUCCCCUUCUUCCUGCUCCGGGAAAGACGGAGGCCUGCUCUGACACCACCUUUGGUUAUGAUCCACAUGUGCUACUGAAGCUGGCUAGAAUGGUGUGACACACGGAGUAAUCUCAUGAAGCAAGGGCAGUGUGCUCUCAUUGCUGCUCAUCAUGGCCUUGCAGGGGGAAAAGGAGCCUGGCAGACCUCUGUGUGGCAUAAAGCUGCACCGUUUGGAAGAAGCAAGACCGUCUUUCCUCCCAGCUACGCUGCUGCACCGCUUUCGACAGAACCUGCCUUUCCCUCCAUUUACCUGGGCAGCUGCUGCUCUUUCUGCUGCUGCUGGGGCUGCUGCAGUCUGGCUGCCUGCGCUUCGCCCUGGCUUGGCUGGCUCGAAACUCUCUCGUCUGCACAGUGCUAAGGAAGAAGAGCGAUGGAGCCGCGGAUUUUUUAUUUUCAUUUGUUCUGGAAGCCAAGGGUUGCAAUAUGUGAUGAUUUUGGGGUUUUCUGUGGCGGGGGGGAGGGAGGAGAAAGGAAGGGUGUUAAUCUAGGAUAGGGUGGGUGAAAGCUUAAAGAAAUAUUAUGUCAAGUAAUCCAGUGCUCGACAAGGGCAUCAGCAAGAAGACUCCAGCCUCAGCUGCUCCAGAGGAUUAACAUGGGGAAGUCACAGUGCUGCAGUCGGGUUUCACCUCAGUGUUGUGCUGGAGAUGGAUAAAUAAGGUAUCGGUUGCAUCUGCCUGUUAAGGCAAAGCCAAGGGAGAAGGAGAGAGCGAGCGAAUGCAAAUGCAAGGGAAGAAGAAAUGCUACGUGCCGUUUGUCCGAUUCUGUGGAUUCUCACUGCAGAGAGGACGGCUUGAUUAACAAAGCGACGUACGGACAGAGGGACUGUAAAUUGUAGCUUGAGCACUCCUGGUGUUGUCAGGGAGUGAACUGAUGAGUUAGGUGGCUGCAGGAAUAUCCCCUGGGAAAACAGCAGCCUCGCACUCUGUGUGUAUAUCUGUGUAUGUACGUGCUUUUGUGUGUGUGUGAACAUGUACAGAAAUGAAAGAAGGACAUUUCUGACCAAUUUACAGAGGACGUUUGUCAGUUUGCUGGGUCAGACUUGAUUGCAGCUUGUAUUUUCAGCUCUAGCUCUACACCCAUUUCCUGACUGAGGUGGCACUUUGUGAAAACAGAUGGUAGGCAGUAUUCUUUUAAGAAAUGUGAAAGCAGAUCCUUUCCGCUUAACACCUUGAAGCACUGAGUCUUCUGCACUGUGCUGAGAUAAACCGUGGGGUUUCGUUUUCUCCGUCUUAAAAUCUCUAUAAACACAGCUGUAUUCAGUAUGGUGAAAAAUUCUAUACUGUAAAUAGAAAUGUGAUCAAACUAAUCAAAAUAAAUGCAUCCCAGAUGACUUCUAGACCAGCUGGCUACCACAGUCAUCAGAUGACUAAAUCCUCAACUGAGCAUUUGUAUUCAGUGUUAUACUUGCAUCUUUUUCUUUUUCCCUUUUUUUUUUUUUCCCCCCCCCCCCCCCCCCCCCCCCCCCCCCCCCCCCCCCCCCCCCCCCCCCCCCCCCUUUUCCCUUUUUUUUUUUUUUUCCUUAGAUUUUCAAAAUCAGCCUCUAAUUGAAAAGGAUUCUUCAUAUACUGAGAAAAGGCAAUACUUAUGUUUGGCAAUUGAUUUCUGUGAAAUAUAGCUGGGUGUAUUUUUUAUUUCAGAAUAUGCUUGGGGUGGUUUUAGAGCAGGUAGGCUUGUCACAGGACAGGCACAUUCCAUUUGGUAGGUAGCUCAGCUUGGCCAUAUCUGAACAAUGCAGAAAUAGGGAAAACAAACACUGCACUCAGCUAGCAGGGCUUGGCAUGGAUUCUAGCAGCUGCCUAUUGAGAAAAGCAGGGUUUUUUCCUUUCCUUUUUUUCCCUUUUAUACAAAGCCAUAGACCAUAAUGUCAUACUAAAAUGUGUAUGAGGGGAUUUCCCAAUAGUCAUGGUGAGCUACCCUGCAAGGCACCCGUCUGGUCCUUCUACUAUUUGUUGCCCAGCCUACAAAGGCAGCCCUGUGUGUGGAAUUGUAUUUGGCCAGCUGUUGUAUAGCAUUCUUGUGCUGGGGGCUAAGGAAUCUUAUUACUCCCAAACUGUAGUUUUCUAUUUGCGUAAAGAAAAAUAACUUUGGCCAUAGGGCAGGCUCUGCAAAGGAGUUUAUGCCACUCCCAUACCUUUCUGAAUCUGUUGUGUGCUUCUAACUCAGGCAGUUUAAAGCAAGCAAGGAGGGAGGAGGAGAGACUCUGAAAUCGCAGCUUCAAAGCUGCAGAGACGAGCAAAAUGUCAGCAGCUUGUAAUUAGGAGCCCACGGUUACGUCAGUGACUGUAUCUCUCCAAGAAUUGCUAUGUGAUGUGUGCCACAAAGCAAAGGAAGACUCUCAUAACCUGGUUAGCAAGCCUGGCUCAAACAAGAAAGAGCAAAAUGGAUUAAUGAAUCUGCUGUGUUCCUAAGUCAGACACGUAUGGAUUACAUGCACAAGGUUUGCUGAAUUCUGCAGCAGCGAUUAAUGAAUCUGCUGUGUUCCUAAGUCAGAUACGUAUGGAUUACACGCACAAGGUUUGCUGAAUUCUGCAGCAGUGAAGACUGAGUUAUGGGAUGCCUUCACCAAAAGUGCAAAUCCUUCAGGAAAAAAUGCAGAUGAGCAGCCUAUCUUUAAAAAUUUCUUUCCUAGCUCUGUCCAGUACGGGCAGCUACACGACAUGGAGGCAUGCUCUGAAGGAAGAGACCGGCGAGCUGCACAAAGGUGUUUAAAAGGAAGGGUGCAGUUAAACACAAAGCAAGCCUGCUGAAAUUCUCUUCUGGCAUUACAGAUUUGAUACUGGAAUACCACCCCAGAGGAGCCUGGCUGGGCUCUGGUGUGGUUUACAUUAAGGCUUCUCUGGUUAAGAGCGAGGGGGGAGGGACAGGGCUUCCUGCAGCAUCUUGCAGCAAUGCAGAAGUCCCCAGGGCUGUGGGAAGCAGGAGGGAUGGAUGUGCUCUUAAAGACACAUGCCCAGAUCCUGCCAUGGGGCUUUCUGACCUCUGCAAUUAUUUUUAGGUCUGUGAAGGCAGCUCGGCAGUGCUUAAACAGUGAGAUUGGAGGGGGUGUUUAAUCUGCUGCGACUGGCCCUUCUCUGUGUCAUGGCUGGGAGAGGUUUAUAGGGCUUUUAUCAAUACCCCUCCACCACAUACAGCAUGCAUGUCUGUCACUGUUCCCAAAGACCACUUACUGGUGUAGUUCCCUGCUCCCAGCAGAAGUCACUUGCAGUUCAACUCUACUGUAGUUGCUCUUUAAUUUACCAGGAUAGGCAGAUUGUAUUAUACAAACAGUGGGGGUGAGUGGUUUUUGGUUUGGUUUUGGUUUGUAUUCUUUUUUUUUUUUUUCUUUUGGAUUGUGAACACAAAUUUGUAGGAGGAGGUGACUCUGUAUAUUAAACCAAUAGCUCUUUGAAUUGUGUGUAGUAUAAUUUAAAUAUACUUACUUUAAUUAAUAGAAGGUUACAAAAGCUGGCAUUGUCUGGGGCUGUUUAAUUUACAUCUUAGGUUUAGUCAAUGAGCAUAACCUGCCUGAUUAGAGCAGUGUAUUCUGCACGGCCAACAGGGUGGAAGGCAUUAUUUUGUUUGUGUUAGUUCAAACAGCUGGUCAUUAAUGCAGGCCCCAUCUCCAGAGUGAAGUGCUAGUGGACAUGAAUGGCUGCCUGAUUAAUGCUGCCCCUGGACGGGUCCUCCAUCCAGCAGCGAUGCUCGCAGCAGAAUAAUGCAGCGGGAUUUGAUUGCGCUCUAACAGGGUAGUAUGUCAUUGUGUCACCCAGCGAUCGAGGUUAUUAUGGGCUGGGGCAGACAGACGGGACAGUGGGGUUACUAGACCGUGGCAUUUUUAGAAAUGCAGGGCUGACCUACUUAGAGUUAUUCUUGCUGGCUGGCAGCUGCCUGGUGCGGGGCUCCCCCGGAUAGGCUGCGGCUGUUGCUAGGGGGAAUUAGCAUGAAUUUUUCCACAUACAGACUCAGUGAUUGAAUGAUAAAAGCUGACUGGAAUUAAAGAGAUUCGGUUCAGUAUUAUGCAGAUUUAUCUCCCUCAUUUUUUUUUUUUUUCUCUCUGUCAAAUGCAUAAAAAGGAGCAGAAAACAGUUUGUUUCCAUUUAUUUUUGACCUAUAUUUUUUUUUUUUCCAGGGGAGGGCAGAAGUGUUGUGAAUUUUUGGUCAUAAUUUAAUAUUUAGGCUGUUGAAAUGAUAUGAUAGUGGGCAUGCAUCUUUAAUGCAUGGAAGAUUAAAAUGCUUCCACUCUGGAAGGGAAUGAAAUGAAUAUAUUUUGUGUUCUGGUCAGGCUGCCACCUCUUUUUAUUUGAAGCCAUGUCUGAUUCUUUCAUCUGGAAAGGAGAAACAUAUAACAGGUUUUAUUGCAUAACAUUACUCUUAGCUAUUUUUAGCUAUCUGUACUUCAAAAAAUUAGUCCUGAUUAUGCUAGUGGGUGAAAUUAAUCCCUAGGCUAUGCCUUAUGUAUGUGGAGACAGAUGCCCAGGGUAGCUGCAGUGUUGUGCAUCAUGUUCAUCUGAAAAGGUGUUUACAUACUGCAGGCUUAUCAGCACUGCAUACCUAGCAGAGUGCUGAUGCCUGACAUGUAAUCAGAUCAAUUAGAGAAUUCUUCUGGAUUUCAGAGUAUUUUUCAGACCCUGGUUUGGAGUAGGAUUCUCUAGAUGGCCU